rnacentral:rRNA from 1 species
CAGCCGCCGCGGGAAUACAGAGGGUGCAAGCGUUAAUCGGAAUUACUGGGCGUAAAGCGCGCGUAGGUGGUUUGUUAAGUUGAAUGUGAAAUCCCCGGGCUCAACCUGGGAACUGCAUCCAAAACUGGCAAGCUAGAGUAGGGCAGAGGGUGGUGGAAUUUCCUGUGUAGCGGUGAAAUGCGUAGAUAUAGGAAGGAACACCAGUGGCGAAGGCGACCACCUGGGCUCAUACUGACACUGAGGUGCGAAAGCGUGGGGAGCAAACAGGAUUAGAUACCCGCGUAGUCCCUGUCUCUUAUAC